AUUGUUUUUUCUGUGAGGUUUACCUAAUAUUUCUUUCUUGUGUGUAUUCAUUGCGCAUUCUUUAUGAAUACAUAAUUGAGUUUGUAGUGAGUUCCCAACCUUUCUUAAUCCUGAUCAAUAUGUUAAGAUGCCUAGUAGAAAUACAUAUACAUACAUCAAGUGUUCUUUAUGAAAGUAGCCAAAAGUAUAUUUUUGGUAUCAUCUAAGAAGGUUGGAAGCAUCUUUCUUGUACUUUGCAUAUUAUUGUUUCUUUCUGGUGACUUGUUGUGUUAUGCACAAAUGCUUGCAGCCUCCUCCCACCGUGCAAUACAAAAUCAAGAAAUCUCCCAGUUAGGGUGUUGCUGUCAACAUGGAUCCAUGUAAGGGGGAAGCCCAGGAAAGUAUUCAAUAGAUGAUGCAGAGGAAUAGGUUGAACAUAGCAACAGAGUACAGAUUGAAGGUGCAGUGAAAUUUCAUGAUCAGCUGCAUGCCACUAUAAUCAUCUGCCUUCUGCAUAAG